rnacentral:rRNA from 1 species
UACGUAGGGGGGCAAGCGUUUGUCCGGAUUUAUUGGGCGUAAAGAGCGUGUAGGCGGCCAUACAGGUCAGCUGUGAAAACUCGAGGCUCAACCUCGAGACGUCGGUUGAAACCGUAUGGCUAGAGUCCGGAAGAGGAGAGUGGAAUUCCCGGUGUAGCGGUGAAAUGCGCAGAUAUCGGGAAGAACACCCGUGGCGAAGGCGGCUCUCUGGGACGGUACUGACGCUGAGACGCGAAAGCGUGGGGAGCGAACGAGG